GCCUUCGUCAUGUAGUGGUCAGCACGCUCGGCGCGUAUUCGAGAGGUCAGUGGUUCGAGUCCCGGCGAGGGCA
rnacentral:tRNA from 1 species